GCCUUUCCGCGUCCAUCCCUGGGAUCCCGUUCCACCAGUCGCGAGGUGGGGAAGAGAAUCCGCGACAGGAGGCGGCGACGCUGCUGGGAGCGACGCUCUCGAUCCCGUCUUCCUCCGGCGACCGGAGGACAGAUCGAACCAGAGCCUUCCCACCAGCGCCCCCACCCCCGCCCGCCCCGUCGCCUCCCCACUGCUCGCCUCUCCCCCUCCCCACUGCUCGCCGCCUUCAGGACCUGCCGGAUCCGCUCCGCGCCGCCGCCAAUCCAGGCCGGCCACUGCUGCGCCAACCUCGAAGCGACGACGACGGCCGGCGGUCGGGACUUACGAAGACAUGGAUGAUCCACCAAGGGAGGAGUAGAAGAAGGCAAUGCAAAAAAAGCUCAUGGAGAUGUGGCCAAUGAGAUAAAGAUUGGAUUUCAUGUUACAAACUUCUAUGCUACUCAAGUUUAAUUGAUGUUAUCUGGUUUGGCGCAGUUCAGAUAAUUGACAUGUAUUAAUUAUUUGCUGCAAGAUGUUUCCUUUUGUAAGAUUUGCUGCAUGACUUUCUACCGUUUAAUUAAUUCUGCCCGGAGAUGUAAA